rnacentral:rRNA from 1 species
UACGGGGGGGGCAAGCGUUGUUCGGAAUUACUGGGCGUAAAGGGCUCGUAGGCGGCCAACUAAGUCAGACGUGAAAUCCCUCGGCUUAACCGGGGAACUGCGUCUGAUACUGGAUGGCUGGAGUUUGGGAGAGGGAUGCGGAAUUCCAGGUGUAGCGGUGAAAUGCGUAGAUAUCUGGAGGAACACCGAUGGCGAAGGCAGCCCCCUGGGAUAACACUGACGCUCAUGCACGAAAGCGUGGGGAGCAAACAGG